UGACUACAUUAAUAAUGACUUUGCGUAUUAAACAAACUGUCUGCUUAAUCAGAUUAACAGACCCGCGUCAGUUACUUCGCUACGCCACAAGCAACACUUGAUUCAAUUAGAAAAAGCUUUUUUAAAUGUCUCGCGUGACGUCUGGUAUAUUAACUGAAAAAAAAAUCGCUUUGAAGUGGCCACACCUUAAAGCUGACGUUUUCAGAAGAGCACCUUGUUGUUUUAAGAUCUCAUUUUGUCCAACAUUGCGUCCUAUGACAGAUAUAAUACUUAUUUCAUUAUUGCUCUGUGUAUGUGUGGUCUUCAUCAAUCAUUUGAGGUUGUGUGUUGAUUUCACCUCUGAAUAUUUCCUCUUAUAGGUCCAUCAUCCUUGCAUGCGCUAUACACUCAAAAGCAUUGAUAAAUGCUGAAUUUAAAAGAAUCACUACUGUCUUAUGUUCCUGUGUCACCUGGACCUCCAAUCCAAAAACCUGAUGAAACUCUUCUAUCAGAAAGGAGGACAGCUAGCAAAAAGACUUCAAACAAUUAAUGAUCAAAUGACAGAUGGCAUGGAUGAAGUCAGCAUCAGUGAGGUCAUUUGAAGACACCACUGUUGGGAUUUGUGCUCUCAAACAACAUGCUUCUUGUGAUGAAGAAGAGGAUCUUUGUAUAGUCCUGGAAGCCAUGAAGGUGUUGCAACAUCUUGCCAUGUUGUUUGAGCUGAUGUAUGCCUUAAACCUGAGCUAUCCUGAUCUCCGCUUUAUUUUUGAGGAAAUCCAAAAGAUUUUAAUGGAACUGCAUUGAGAGUAACUUUAACGAACUGUUUCUUUCAGUGAAAGGAUCAGAAAGACUGUGCUGCUCAUUUUUUACUUUGUUUAUCUGUUUUAAGUGUUUUCUCUUAUUAAUACAUUAACAGUUUGCUGCUCAGAGUCGAUUUUGGAAAUGUUUGUUGUAUUUUGUUUUUGUUGAAUCUUUGAUUAACAGUUUAUACAAAUGCUGUAGCUCUGACUUUCAUAAGGAUUGAUAUUUUCCAGUUUGUAAAUCCAUUUUAAAAAUAAUAGUACUUACUGUUUUGCAUGUCACUUGGAAUGCAGUGUUUGUGCUUUAGCACUUCUAAAUCUAUUGUGAUAGUAACUAUUUUAAACAUUUGGGUCAGUUUCACAGAUGGCUUUUCCUAGUUCCAUGCUUUUGCAAUGCCUUAAUUUGAAAACAUAUUGCACUGACAUAUCUUGACAUAUAUCAGUGCCAUUGUUUUGUCUAAAGAUGUACUCCAGUGUUGAUUUUGUAAGGUAGGUUUGUUUGUAAACUUUUUUUGUAAAACAUCUUAAUAUAACUUAGGGCCUAGUCAUGGCUUAAUCUACAACCUUUCUGGGAAAUUGCCCCUUUAUGUAUGUACUGCAUGUGCUGAUUGUUGUAAUAGUAAUUGACUGUUAUUGAAUUAAUGUGUAGUGAUUUAAAUGAAUUGAUGAUCUGAAAGCAGUGGUUUGCCUCAAUAUCACUAAACAUUUGUACAAAACUCUUUGCUUUUUAUGCCAAUGCAAAUGUAUUUUGUAUUUAAAAAACAAUAAAUAACAUUUGGAUAAUUAUGGGUGAUUAUUCUGGUGCCAAAGACAUAAUGAAAUUGCUUUAGAGUUACAUAAUCCCAUAAUAUAAGCAUUAAAAAAGCAUGUUGGAAU